rnacentral:rRNA from 1 species
AUGAACGCUGGCGGCGUGCCUAAUACAUGCAAGUCGAACGCUUUGUGGUUCAACUGAUUUGAAGAGCUUGCUCGGAUAUGACGAUGGACAUUGCAAAGAGUGGCGAACGGGUGAGUAACACGUGGGAAACCUACCUCUUAGCAGGGGAUAACAUUUGGAAACAGAUGCUAAUACCGUAUAACAAUGACAACCGCAUGGUUGUUAUUUAAAAGAUGGUUCUGCUAUCACUAAGAGAUGGUCCCGCGGUGCAUUAGCUAGUUGGUAAGGUAAUGGCUUACCAAGGCGAUGAUGCAUAGCCGAGUUGAGAGACUGAUCGGCCACAAUGGGACUGAGACACGGCCCAUACUCCCACGGGAGGCAGCAGUAGGGAAUCUUCCACAAUGGGCGAAAGCCUGAUGGAGCAACGCCGCGUGUGUGAUGAAGGGUUUCGGCUCGUAAAACACUGUUGUAAGAGAAGAAUGACAUUGAGAGUAACUGUUCAAUGUGUGACGGUAUCUUACCAGAAAGGAACGGCUAAAUACGUGCCAGCAGCCGCGGUAAUACGUGUGUUCCAAGCGUUAUCCGGAUUUAUUGGGCGUAAAGCGAGCGCAGACGGUUAUUUAAGUCUGAAGUGAAAGCCCUCAGCUCAACUGAGGAAUUGCUUUGGAAACUGGAUGACUUGAGUGCAGUAGAGGAAAGUGGAACUCCAUGUGUAGCGGUGAAAUGCGUAGAUAUAUGGAAGAACACCAGUGGCGAAGGCGGCUUUCUGGACUGUAACUGACGUUGAGGCUCGAAAGUGUGGGUAGCAAACAGGAUUAGAUACCCUGGUAGUCCACACCGUAAACGAUGAGUGCUAGGUGUUUGAGGGUUUCCGCCCUUAAGUGCCGCAGCUAACGCAUUAAGCACUCCGCCUGGGGAGUACGACCGCAAGGUUGAAACUCAAAGGAAUUGACGGGGACCCGCACAAGCGGUGGAGCAUGUGGUUUAAUUCGAAGCAACGCGAAGAACCUUACCAGGUCUUGACAUCCCUUGACAAUUCCAGAGAUGGAGCGUUCCCUUCGGGGACAAGGUGACAGGUGGUGCAUGGUUGUCGUCAGCUCGUGUCGUGAGAUGUUGGGUUAAGUCCCGCAACGAGCGCAACCCUUAUUACUAGUUGCCAGCAUUUAGUUGGGCACUCUAGUGAGACUGCCGGUGACAAACCGGAGGAAGGUGGGGAUGACGUCAAAUCAUCAUGCCCCUUAUGACCUGGGCUACACACGUGCUACAAUGGCGUAUACAACGAGUUGCCAACCCGCGAGGGUGAGCUAAUCUCUUAAAGUACGUCUCAGUUCGGAUUGUAGGCUGCAACUCGCCUACAUGAAGUCGGAAUCGCUAGUAAUCGCGGAUCAGCACGCCGCGGUGAAUACGUUCCCGGGUCUUGCACACACCGC